CUGCCAGUAGUCAUAUGCUUGUCUCAAAAGACUAAGCCAUGCAUGUGUUAGUAUGAACUGAAUUUAUAUAGUGAAACUGCGAAUGGCUCAUUACAUCAGUUAUAGUUUAUUUGAUAGAUACGCGUUCAGCACUACAUGGAUACCUGUAGUAACAUAGAGCUAAUACAUGCAUAAGAAUCUGACUUUAUGGAAGGAUUUGCACUUAUUAGAUACCAAACCAAUAUCCUUUACGGGAUUUAUUAGGUGAAUCACAAUAACUGAACAAAUCGCAUAGUCUUGCACUGGCGAUGUAUCAAUCAAGUUUCUGCCCUAUCAACUUGAUGUUAGUGUAUUGUACUAACAUGGUUUUUACGGGUAACAGAGGAUUAGGGUUCGAUCCUGGAGAAGGAGCAUGAGAAAAUGGCUACUACUUUCUAAGGUAAAGCAGGCA
rnacentral:rRNA from 1 species